rnacentral:lncRNA from 1 species
GGAUAUUAGAGCUUUGCAGGAGUGACAAACAACAAUGGAGAACUUAUCAAGAAGAUGCAGAAUUUCAGUUAAUUCAACUCUCACCCUUGUCAGACCUCAAUGACAGCAGCCACCGAGGCCAGUGUCGCACGGAGAGGCAUCUCCCGAGGAUGGCACAGACGCUCGUCUCUGGUCCCAGCAUGCUGGAUGUCCUGGGGCUGGCGCUGCACGGCUGCCUCUGCCUCGGCCCCGGCCUCGUCCUGCUCCUGGUGGCCUGGGCCACCCUGCGCUGCUGCCGCAGCACCUCGGGCAAACGGCGCCAGAUGCUGAGGCGCCGCAUGGCUGCAGGAGCAGCCUGCUCUGGGUGGGCGGCAGAGCCCUGGGCACGCUGCUGUGCUACGACCUGGGCUGCGGGCGCUGCAGCCAGGCUGUCAGGGAGAGGCAGCAGCGGCUCCUUGCCAGGCAGGCGAGACCCUCCUGCUGUCCGUACUCCUCCUCCUCUCGGGACUCCAGCGACUGCUGCCGGCACGGGGCCACGGCCAGCUCAUUGCGCCCAGCCAAGAGAACACCCCUCAGGUCCUGGUGGCAGCCAGUGCUGCGGAGGAGGAAGCAGAGGAGACUCUUUCCCCAGCACACAGCGCUGAACACCCAGGGGGCAGCCACACCUCCCCGCCGUGCUGGGCCUCCCAGACAGGCCGAGGAGCUCAUCGAGAUGGCUCCUGUGCGCCACGAGGCCGGCUUGCCCCCUACCACAGGCUCUGACGCGGCUCACAAGGAUGGCAGCCUGCCCGCUAGUGCAGAUCCUUGUCCCGUGGCAAGGCUGGAGCAAGGACUGGGCUUCUGGAAGCUCCUGCGGAUGCACACGCUGAGGAAGUCCAUCGAGACCAAGCUGGGAGCUCUCCCCGCCAUGGUGCAGCAGUCCCACAGGAGGUACACGUACAGGGUGGCACGCUGCACGGCUCCCACGCUGCUGCCCUCCCGUCCUGCCCCCUCCUACUUCUGUUCACCGGAGGCCCUGUUCCUGCAUGAGGAUGUGCGGGAGUUCCUGGAGAUGCACAUCCGAGAGAAGAAGCUGCGCCACCACUGGGGCUUGCCUGCAGGGUCGCUGGCAGAGCCCCAGGCACUGCCAUCAGCCCCCUAAGAGCAGCGUGCCGCGCUCCACGUUCAGAACUGCCCUCGAGACUCAGGGUUGGGCAUCAGGAAAGGCGGUGUCCAAUGGAAAACAUUCCCUGCUGCUGUGCUGCGAGGGACAGAAGCUGCGAGGGAAUGUGGAGGCCUCCCCAACACUGACUGUCCUUAUUCCUCUUCAAUCUAUUAAACCCCUUCCUAUUAAAACUCCACCUCUUCUGAUAUGAGCAGAGAUGCUAGGGAGGGCUCUGAGGCUCAUCACCGAAAGUACUUCAACCUUUGUCACUACAUUUCCCCCCACAUCCAAUGAAAAAUUGAGAUUCUCCUUUGUUCUCCUUUUGUUGCUAAUAUAUUUCAGAAGCUUUUUGUUUGUUUGUUUGUUUCGUCUUUUUAAAAAAUUGUCUAUUUUUGCUUUUCUUGCUUGUUUGUGCCCUGCUACAAGCUGAUAGUUACUGUCUAUUUGGAAUAUAGGAGCUUGGAUGCAGAUUCUCGCUUUCUUAAUUGGAGGCCAGUUCAGAACCAGUGUUUCCCAUUAUGUGCCAUCAUGCACCAGCCUUUCUGUGACCAUCCAAACAAGAGAUUCCAAUUGCUGCCUUCACCUUUACUUUGCAUCUGGUCUCAGAGUUCAUCAUCCAGCUCCUGGGAGUGCACAAAAGUACUCAAUUUUUAGCUUGGUGCUUCAGAGAGAAGUAGAAAUUCAUGGACUCACUGUGUAUGAACAGUAAAACUCAGCUGUUUCUAUUGUACACCUUAAGUUUCCUGUACUGCCCUGUCAAAGUGCAUGAUUUUUGCUAUGGGCAUCUAAUUCAGCUGGUCUCUGGGACCCUACUGAACUAUUUUUUAAAUGUUGAAGUCUACCACAGAUGUCUGUCUUCGCCAGUCAGAAAAGGGCACACAGUUGCUUAAGGUGUUGAGUGCUGGCAGGAAAACAGAAUCCUUUGUCUCUAGAACAAAAAAUUCUUAAUUCAGAAUAACUGGAAAAACCUCCAUGAAAAUAAACCAUAUUCUAAUCUAAGCUGUGUCCA